rnacentral:rRNA from 1 species
GACGAACACUGGCGGCGUGCUUAACACAUGCAAGUCGAACGGAAAGGCCUGCUUUCCCUUGUGGAUUGCGGGUACUCGAGUGGCGAACGGGUGAGUAACACGUGAGUGAUCUGCCCCCAACUUGGGUAUAAGCCUGGGAAACUGGGUCUAAUUCCCGAUAGGACUGCAGGGUGGUGCCUGUGGUGGAAAACGAUUUUCUAGUGGUUGGGGAUGAGCUCGCGGCCUAUCAGCUUGUUGGUGGGGUAAUGGCCUACCAAGGCGGCGACGGGUAGCCGGCCUGAGAGGGUGGACGGCCACAGUGGGACUGAGAUACGGCCCAGACUCCUACGGGAGGCAGCAGUGGGGAAUAGUGCACAAUGGGCGGAAGCCUGAUGCAGCGACGCCGCGUGGGGGAUGACGGCCUUCGGGUGGUAAACUCCUUUCGACCGCGAGGAAGCCACCUGGUUGGAAGGGUGGUGACGGUAGUGGUAGAAGAAGCACCGGCUAACUACGUG